rnacentral:rRNA from 1 species
GAGACAGCAGUGCCGCGGUAAGACGAACCGUGCAAACGUUACUCGGAAUCACUGGGCUUAAAGCGCACGUAGGCGGCGACAUAAGUUAGAGGUGAAAUCCCAUCGGCUCAACCGUGGAACUGCCUCUAAUACUGUGUUGCUUGAGGGAGAACGGGGCAUUCGGAACUUCCGGUGGAGCGGUGAAAUGUGUUGAUAUCGGAAGGAACGCCGGUGGCGAAAGCGGAAUGCUGGGUCUCUUCUGACGCUGAGGUGCGAAAGCUAGGGUAGCGAACGGGAUUAGAUACCCCCGUAGUCCCUGUCUCUUAUAC